AGCUGGCAGGGAGUGGAGCCAGAGGCAGAAAAGGAGAGAAAAGUUUCCUGCCGUCUUCAUUAGUUGACUUCCCAGUCCACAGCCACAGCUUCCCGGGGCUGCAGAAUUCACUCUCAAUAAAGAAAGGAGGCUUAAAAAAAAAAAAAGUCCUGUGUUUACAAGACCAGAAAUGCCAGCGCUAAGUCCUUCCAGAGAGAAAGGCUGAAAUGGAGGACCGACGCCUUCCUUAUAAGCUCAUCGGAGCACGAUAGAAAAGCAACUGUAAAGGCAGAGAGAGUAAGAGCGGAAGGAAGGAAGUCAGCGCCAACGUAGACCAAAAGGAACCACCCAGAAAUGUAGAAAAAGGAACCGGCAGAGGUCCCCAACAUCGGUAGAAGGACAGAAGACACGCACGGAGAAAGGUUUAUGUUUUGUUUUGUUGUUUUUUAAAUUUCAACUUGGAGCUCAAUGAAGAAAAGGCAAAAUAUAGGCCAGUGGACCAGAGGACCGGAAGAGGACCAGUCAUAGCUCACAGUGUGCCGGGUCCAGAUGGAAGGAACUCCAGACAAACCCCAGUGGCAGGAUAGGCACAGUCCUGAAGGCUGGGGGCUCGCCCCUUGAAACCCUCUUCGCAGGCUGCCUGAGUUCUUUUGCUCUCCUUAUCAUCCCCAUCUUUAUGACGAGGCUUGUUAACAUGACCAGCGAUCUGACCACGCACAUCUAUCUCCACCGCACACGCACUCAGCCGAGCAGCUGAGCUGGGGGGACUGAGAGGCACUAAUUAAUUGAUUCCUUGGACUGUAAAAUAUGGCUGUGUCUACACACACGGAACCUGUGGACUCAUAAACAAUAUGUCUGCAGAUGUGAGUGCACUGUCUCUUAAAGAAUUUUUCUAUAGUUAUGUGCCUAUUAGAAUCCAGGAUUUGAAAGACUCAAAUAAGAUUGCUUUUUCAUAAGCCUCAACACAGUACAAUGUCAGAAAAUUCUGCAAAAACUUGGGUUAUGGAAUAGGUUUUCUCUGCUGUUACUGUAGACACACAAAUUGGCUUCUGACUGCUAAGUGUUAGGAUCAAAAUCAAAGCCCAGCUGAGAAGGCCUGAAUGAAGCCUUUGCCCUUCCUGGGAGAAGGGGAAUGGGCCCAGGUUCAGGCCUUACUUCAUAAUGCUGCUUAGGCUCAAGAUUAUAAUAUUAAUAUAUAUAUAUUUACAAACCCUAACCUAAAGGAGCCUAACCCUAACCCUUACCUAGCUCUCCAGAUCACUGUCCACCCCUUAACUAUCUGCCUGCAUAGAGCAUUGCUAUAACAUGCUUGCAUUAGUCUUGGAAGAAUGUGUCUUGAGAUGCAUAAGUAAAUAGCUCUAACAAUUCUAUAUAAUCAUGAUUCCAUAGUGAAUCUUGAUGCAAAUAGGCGUUAAUAUGUUCUCAACAGAUACCAGCUUCAGACAAGAGACACAACAGGAAACUAAAAGUGACCAUUUAUACAACAAUGUUUGCUGACAUACAUGGCUAUUUCAAAGACAAAAAUACUAGGCAGAAAUAGAAAAACACAAAUAGAAACACAAAUAGAAAAAACCAAUUAACCAGUGGAGUUUGUCAUUACCAAUGUCAUCAUUGCUUCCUGAUUUUGGGUGACUCUUUUAAACCCGGCUGUGUUCCCUUCAUUCAGCACGGCAGAGAUGGUCUACCUUCCCAUACCUUCAGCUCUGGCUCCAAUAUUUAUUUUUUAAAAAAUCUUCAGAGAAAUGUAUACCACAAAUAAUAUGUGCAUCUAAAGAAUAUGCCAAUAUAAUUUACAUAUUUUUUCAUAUACUAGGCUGAUAUGCACUUUGUAUGUGUGUAAGAAUGUGAUAUAAUUCUGAGUUUUUACUGCUGUAGUAAUAUUUGGGUGCAUUUCAUGCAAUAGUUCCAUAUGCUACAGAAUGUAGAUACACGUGACUAAAUGAACUCAGAAAAGCACACCCUUUAUGUAGGAUAUAUGAAAGCCUUGCUUACAAAUGCAAAUAAAUUCUUGUUUGUGAAUCU
ensembl:lincRNA Hotair HOX transcript antisense RNA (non-protein coding)